rnacentral:lncRNA from 1 species
AUUUAUUUAUAUAUAUAAAUAUAAAUUAAAUAAAUUAUAUAAAUAUAAAAUAUAUGUAUUCGAGCUGUUAUCGAGCCGAACACGAGCGAGCUAACCCCAGCUCGUGCUCGACUCGUUUAAUAAACGAGCCGAAAAAUUCGGCUCGUGUUCAGCUCGUUUACUAAACGAGCGAUUCGAUCUCGAGCUCAUUUCGAGCCGAACACGAGCUGGCUCGCGAACAGCGAGCUGGAUUGCCACCCCUAAUGGAGGCCUUCAUGCUUCUAAAAACAUUUCAAGCUUCUAAAAACAUAAAAGCCGAACUCUGAAACAAAAUAUAUUUUAACUUAACUACAUGAAUACCAAAGUAUAGUAAAUUUAAUAAUUGAGCUACUAUCCUGUUUAAGGGGUUGUUUGGCUAGAUACAAUUGUAAAUAUAGUAUAGUUGGAGAUUCAUGUAGUUAAGUUAAAAUAUAUUUUGUUUCAUUGGAUAUAGCAAAAAGUAUUGCAAUUAUAAAUAAUUGUUUAGUUAUUUACUUAUUUAAAAUUAUUUUCUUAAAUUGCUGUAGUUAAAAGUGCAGCCAAUUUAGGCGUAGUUUUAUUUGCUAAAAUUAAAUCAUGUUGCACUUCCAUAUAUUUAAAUUUGUAUGCA